rnacentral:rRNA from 1 species
AUUGAACGCUGGCGGCAUGCCUAACACAUGCAAGUCGAACGAGUGGCGGACGGGUGUGUAAUGUCUGUGAAACUGCCCGAUGGAGGGGGAUAACUACUGGAAACGGUAGCUAAUACCGCAUACCAUCGGAUGUGCCCAGAUGGGAUUCGCUAGUAGGUGGGGUAACGGAUCACCUAGGCGACGAUCCCUAGCUGGUCUGAGAGGAUGACCAGCAACACUGGAAAUGAGACACGGUCCAGACUCCUACGGGAGGCAGGAGUGGGGAAUAUUGGACAAUGGGCGGAAGCCUGAUGCAGCCAUGCCGCGUGUAUGAAGAAGGCCUUCGGGUUGUAAAGUACUUUAAGCGAGGAGGCGUUACUCGAAGAAGAAGCACCGGCUAACUCCGUGCCAGCAGCCGCGGUAAUUC